UUUUGUUUUUAUUUUAUUUUCUUUCAAGAUUAAGCCAUGCAUGUCUAAGUAUAAGCAAUUAUACCGCGAAACUGCGAAUGGCUCAUUAAAUCAGUUAUCGUUUAUUUGAUAGUACCUUACUACUUGGAUAACCGUGGUAAUUCUAGAGCUAAUACAUGCUUAAAACCCCGACUCACGGAGGGGUGUAUUUAUUAGAUUAAAAACCAAUGCCCUUCGGGGCUUUUUGGUGAUUCAUAAUAACUUCUCGAAUCGCAUGGCCUUGUGCCGGCGAUGGUUCAUUCAAAUUUCUGCCCUAUCAACUUUCGAUGGCAGGGUCUUGGCCUGCCAUGGUUACAACGGGUAACGGAGGGUUAGGGCUCGACCCCGGAGAAGGAGCCUGAGAAACGGCUACUACAUCCAAGGAAGGCAGCAGGCGCGCAAAUUACCCAAUCCCGAUACGGGGAGGUAGUGACAAUAAAUACUGAUACAGGGCUCUUUUGGGUCUUGUAAUUGGAAUGAGUACAAUUUAAAUCCCUUAACGAGGAACAAUUGGAGGGCAAGUCUGGUGCCAGCAGCCGCGGUAAUUCCAGCUCCAAUAGCGUAUAUUAAAGUUGUUGCAGUUAAAAAGCUCGUAGUUGAACCUUGGGCCUGGCUGGCCGGUCCGCCUCACCGCGUGCACUGGUUCGGCCGGGCCUUUCCCUCUGGGGAAUCCCAUGCCCUUCACUGGGUGUGGCGAGGAACCAGGACUUUUACUGUGAAAAAAUUAGAGUGUUCAAAGCAGGCCUAUGCUCGAAUACAUUAGCAUGGAAUAAUAGAAUAGGACGUGUGGUUCUAUUUUGUUGGUUUCUAGGACCGCCGUAAUGAUUAAUAGGGACAGUCGGGGGCAUCAGUAUUCAAUUGUCAGAGGUGAAAUUCUUGGAUUUAUUGAAGACUAACUACUGCGAAAGCAUUUGCCAAGGAUGUUUUCAUUAAUCAGGAACGAAAGUUAGGGGAUCGAAGACGAUCAGAUACCGUCGUAGUCUUAACCAUAAACUAUGCCGACUAGGGAUCGGACGAUGUUAUUUUUUGACUCGUUCGGCACCUUACGAGAAAUCAAAGUUUUUGGGUUCUGGGGGAGAUGCCAGA
rnacentral:rRNA from 1 species